rnacentral:misc_RNA from 1 species
AUCCUAUCUUCCAAUGCUCGGAGAGACAUCAACAAGGUUGUUUUUGUCGUGUUUACCCCAUCGAUGGUAUUUGUGAGCCUAGCAAAAACCGUUGAUCUUCAAGAAAUCAUCUCUUGGUGGUUUAUGCCCGUUAACGUCAUGAUUUCUUUCUUGAUUGGAGGAUCCCUUGCAUGGAUAAUGUUAAAGAUAGUGAGAGUGGAGCCCCACCUUGAAAACCUUAUCAUUGCCACCUG